UAGUAGCGGCGAGCGAAGCGGGAAGAGCCCAAUAUGAAAAGCCAGCUUGCUGGCGUUGUAGUUGAGCGUCUUUGGGGUGUCAGUUUGGGAAAGUGGCAUGAGAGUGCUCACCGGGGAGGGUGAAAGUCCCGUCCAUCCCAUCCAGGACACCUCGCACAAAGGCGUUUCAGAUGAGUCGGGUAGCUUGGGAAUGCUGCUCUAAUUGGUGGUAAAUCUCAUCAAAGGCUAAAUACUGGUGGGAGACCGAUAGCGAACAAGUACCGUGAGGGAAAGAUGAAAAGUACUUUGAAAAGAGGGUAAAAAGAACCUGAAACCGUUACGGGGGAAGCGGAUUGCGUUGGCCUGGUGGCUGCCUGUGUGUUCAGCCUUUUAUGGUGCAUUGAUACAGGUGGUUAUUCGUCGUGGCUUUUUGGUGGCUGAUAAUGAGGUGCUGAAGGGUGAGGGCUCCCCUUUUUUUUAGGGUGAGGACGACGGAGUGACGACGCGAUACGACCCGUCUUGAAACACGGACCAAGGAGUCUAGCGCAGGUGCGAGUCAAAGGGUGUUAAAACCUGUGGGCGUAGUGAAAGCGACUUUUUUUGUAAAAACGAGCAGUUUGGGGCGGCAUAGAAUCGUUGAUUCUAGGUCUGACCUUGAGCAGUUGCGCUGGGACCCGAAAGAUGGUGAACUAUGCCGGAGUAGGGCGAAGCCAGAGGAAACUCUGGUGGAGGCUCGUAGCGGUGCUGACGUGCAAAUCGCUCGUCGAACUUGGGUAUAGGGGCGAAAGACUAAUCGAACCAUCUAGUAGCUGGUUUCCUCCGAAGUUUCUCUCAGGAUAGCAGGCCGACACUUUUACGUUGUUUUGUGCGGUAAAGCGAAUGAUUAGCGUAUUCGGGGGCGUUUAGCCUUUGGACGAUUCUCAAACUUUAAAUGCGCAAGGGNNNGAGUG
rnacentral:rRNA from 1 species